rnacentral:rRNA from 1 species
AACCACAAUGUAUGAGAGGUCUUGCCUGCCCAGUGACUACAAGUUAAACGGCCGCGGUAUUUUGACCGUGCAAAGGUAGCGCAAUCACUUGUCUUUUAAAUGAAGACCUGUAUGAAUGGUGGAACGAGGGCUUAACUGUCUCCCCCUUCAAGUCAAUGAAAUUGAUCUCCCCGUGCAGAAGCGGGCAUAACAAUACAAGACGAGAAGACCCUUUGGAGCUUGAGAUGUAAGACCAACUAUGUCAAGAAACACUAAACUAAAUAGCAACUGAUCCCCAUCUUCGGUUGGGGCGACCACGGGAGACAACAAAGCUCCCACGCGGACUGGGGAGAUCCCCAAAACUAAGAGAGACACCUCUAAGUCGCAGAAUAUCUGACCAAAAAGAUCCGGCUACUGCCGAUCAACGGACCAAGUUACCCUAGGGAUAACAGCGCAAUCCCCUUCCAGAGUUCAUAUCGACAAGGGGGUUUACGACCUCGAUGUUGGAUCAGGACAUCCUAAUGGUGCA